rnacentral:tRNA from 1 species
CGGGAAAUAGCUCAGUUGGUAGAGCAGCAGCCUUAUAAGCUGUGUGUCAGAGGUUCGAUUCCUCUUUUCCCAA